GCCUAUCAGCUAGCCCCACCCCUCAAUAACAACAAAUCAACAUAAAUAACCCCAAAAACACGCAAGACUACACGAACUAAACCAUUCUCCCACCCUAGUAUGGGCGACAGAAAAGGAACUAGUGGAGCAAUAGAGAAAGUACCGCAAGGGAACGCUGAAAGAGAGAUGAAAUAGCCCAGUAAAGCUUAAAAAAACAGAGAUUUAAACUCGUACCUUUUGCAUCAUGAA
rnacentral:rRNA from 1 species